UGCAGAGGGGGCAAGCGUUAUUCGGAAUUACUGGGCGUAAAGCGCACGUAGGCGGUCUGUUAAGCUGGAUGUGAAAGCCCCGGGCUCAACCUGGGAAUUGCACUCAGAACUGGCAGGCUAGAGUACGGUAGAGGUGAGUGGAAUUUCCUGUGUAGCGGUGAAGUGCGUAGAUAUAGGAAGGAACAUCAGUGGCGAAGGCGACUCACUGGACUGAUACUGACGCUGAGGUGCGAAAGCGU
rnacentral:rRNA from 1 species